CUGACUAUGGAGUGUGUCUCUCUCCAAACUUGCCUUUGCUUUUCUCUGGCUCGCACCUGAAUCCUUUCCUGUGAGAAGUCAGGAACCCUCACCUGGCAGUUCAUCCUACACAUUCUUGCAGGUCCCAGGACUUGACAUUUCCAUCUCCUGCAACAUCUUUUGUGGCGACGAGGAGCAGCGACAUCAAAGGGCAUAAUCUUAAUCCACCUGUCAGGCUGUGGCUCCCCUCCUCCAUGGAGGGUGGCUGGGAUGGAGGGUCCUGAGCCAUAAAGACCAAGCAGCCCCUUAGGUGACAGGUGAUGCUGUCCACAGGAUCUGGCAGAGACCAGCUCUCCAGCCACGAAGGAGCCUGACAAGCCUGAGGCUGGCUUUUCUCUGCUGGCUCUCUCUCACCUUCUGGUUACAUCACUCUCUUUGGACCCGCGAAGGUCCAUGAGACAACCACCCAGACUUCCAAAUUAAGGCGACAGCAGGUAACCUGCAACUUGGUCCGAAAGCCAGUCAUUCGUCCAAUGCGACUACACCUCCUGGGUAAGGUGAGCCUCUUUGGAACAAUCCCUGGCCACUGGAUGGUAAGAUCAGCACAGGGUUUUGGAACCCAGACCCAAACUGCAUUCCCACCAAAGCCUCCACUCUGCCUGCUUGUAAUGAAGCCCAGACCCAAAGUGCCUACGGGGUAGGGGUGGACUGGACUAAAAGAUGGGCUAGUAAUUUUCAGGCUCUCUAGAGGCAGUGGGUAAAACCUUCUUACUACACCAUCUCAUCUAAGCCGAGGGCAUGGAAUACUCCUGGACUGAAUCAUUUUUAAUAUACUAAUGGGCCCUGGUUCCCACAUCGCAUUCAUAGCUUGUCCCUUCCAUGGAUCCAGAUGGCUGCCUCCUUCUUAAAUUCUUCUAUUCCCAGAUCUCCAGAACUGACCACAUGCUGGCCCACAAACUAAGUGGUAAAGCCUCAGUAAAUUUAAGAAAAUUGAAAUCAUACCAAGCAUCUUUUCCAACCACAAUGCUAUGAAGUCAGAAAUCAAAUACAAGGAAAAAAAAAACUGCAAAAACUGAAAACACAUGGAGGCUAAAUAUGCCACUAAACAACCAAUGGAUCACUAAAGAAAUACUUUGAGACAAAUGAAAAUGAAAAUACAGCAAUCCAAAACCUCUGGGAUGCAGCGAAAGCAGUUCUAAGAGGGAAGUUUAUAAUGAUACAAGCCUACCUCAGGAAACAAGAAAAAUCUCAAGUAAACAACCUAACCUUACACCUAAAGGAGCUAGAAGGAAAAAACAAAACCCAAAGUUAGAAGAAAAGAAAUCAUAAAGAUUAGAGCAGAAAUAAAUGAAAUAGAGACUUAAAAACAAUAGAAAAGAUGAAACUAAAAGCUGGUUCUUUGAAAAGAUAAACAAAAUUGAUAAACCUUUAGCCAGACUCAAACAAAAAAAGGGAGAGGGCCCAAAUUAAUAAAAUCAGAAAUGAAAAAGAAAUUACAACUGACACCACAGAAAUAUAGGGAUCAUAAGAGGCUACUAUGAGCAACUACAUGGGAACAAAAAGGACAACCUAGAAGAAAUGGACAAUCUCCUAGAAAGGUACAACUUGCCAAGACUGAACCAGGAAGAAAUAGAAAAUAUAAACAGACCAAUUACCAGUACUGCAAAUGAAUCAGUAAUUUAAAAACUCCCAAAAGUCCAGGGCCAGACGGCUUCACGGGUGAAUUCUACCAAACAUUUAGAGAAGGGUUAAACACUUACCCUUCUGAAACUACUCCAAGAAAUCGCAGAGGAAGGAACACUUUCCAACUCAUUCUAUGAGGCUACCAUCCCCCGAUACCAAAACCAGACAAAAGACAUCACAAAAAGGAAAAUUACAGACCAAUAUCACUUUUAAAUAUAGAUGCAAAAAUCCUCAAUAAGAUACCAGCAAAUCAACACCAACAAUGCAUUAGAAGGAACAUACACCAUGAUCAAGUGGGAUUUAUCCCAGGGAUGCAAGGAUUUUUCAAGACCCACAAAUGAAUCAACAUGAUACACCACAGCAACAAACUGAAUAAAAACGAUACGAUCAUCUCAAAAGAUGCAGAAAAAGCUUUUGAUAAAAUUCAACAUCCAUUUAUGAUGAAAACUCUCCAGAAAGUGGACAGAGACAGAACAUACCUCAACUUAAUAAAAGUCAUAUAUGACAAACCCACAGCUAACAUCAUACUUAAUGGGGAAAAUCUGAAAGUAUUCCUUUAAGAUCAGGAACAAGACAGAGAUGCCCACUCUCGCCACUUUUAUUCAACAUAGUUUUGGAAGUCCUAGCCAUAGAAAUCAGAGAAGAAAUAAAAGGAAUCCAAACUGGACAAGUAAAACUACUGUUUGCAGUUGACAUGAUACCAUACAUAGAAAACCCUAAGAAGUGACCAGAAAACUACUAGAACUCAAUGAAUUUGGUAAAGCUGCAGGAUACAAAAUUAACAGACAGCAUCAGUUGCAUUUCUACACAGUAACGACAAAAUAUCAGAGAGAGAAAUUAAGGAAACAAUACCAUUUACCAUCGCACCAAAAAUAAAAUACCUAGGAAUAAACCUACUCAAGGAGGCAAAAGGCCUGUACUCCAAAAACUUUAUGACACUGAUGAAAGAAACUGAAGACGACAUAAACAAAUGGAAAUAUAUACUGUGUUCUUGGAUUGGAAGAAUCAAUAUUGUUAAAAUGGCCAUACUACCCAUGGUAGAAAAUAUUUGCAAAUGAUGCGACCAACAAGGGAGUAACUGACAAGGGACUUAUUUCCAAAAUAUACAAUACACCUUAAAUAUAAAAAAAAAAAAGCAAGCCAAUCAAAAAAUGGGCAGAAGAUCUAAACGGACAUCUCUCCAAAGAAGACAUACAAAUGGCAACAAGCACAUGAAGGGGUGCUCAACAUCACUAAUUGUUAGAGAAAUGCAAAUCAAAACUACAGUGAAGUAUCACCUCACACCAGUCAGAAUGGCCGUCAUUCAAAAGACCAUGAACAAUAAAUGCCGGAGAGAGUGUGGAGAAAAAGGAACCCUCCUACACUGUUGGUGGGAAUGUAAAUUGGUGCAGCCACUAUGGAGGACAGUAUGGAAGUUCCUUAAAAAAAUUAAAAUAGACUUACCAUAUGAUCCAGCAAUCCCACUCCUGAGCAUAUAUCUAGAAGGAACCUCAAUUCAAAAAGAUACAUUCACCCCAAUGUUCACAGCAGCACUAUUAACAACAGCUAAGACAUGGAAACAACCUAAAUGUCUAUCAACUGAUGACUGGAUAAAGAUGUGGUGUAUAUAUAUGUAUACACACACACACACACACACACACACACACAGAAUGGAAUACUACUCAGCCAUAAAAAAGAAUAAAAUAAUGCCAUUUGCAGCAACAUGGAUGGACCUGGAGAUCGUCAUUCUAAGUGAAGUAAGCCAGAAAGAAAAAUGCCAUAUGAUACUGCUUAUAUUUGGACUCCUUAAAAAAAAAAAAAGAA